rnacentral:rRNA from 1 species
GUAGUCUCGCACAGAUGCAUAUCAAUAAGCGGAGGAAAAGAAACUAACAAGGAUUCCCCUAGUAACGGCGAGUGAAGCGGGAAGAGCUCAAAUUUGAAAUCUUAAAGGGUUUCCCUUUACGAAUUGUAGUUUAAAGAAGUGUUUUCUGUUGAGGUUUUGGUAAAAGUUCUUUGGAAUAGGACAUCAUAGAGGGUGAGAAUCCCGUAUUUGACCUUUACUUUCAACUUUGUGAUACACUUUCAAAGAGUCGGAUUGUUUGGGAAUGCAGUCCAAAAUGGGUGGUAAAUUUCAUCUAAAGCUGAAUAUUGGCGAGAGACCGAUAGCGAACAAGUACCGUGAGGGAAGAUGAAAAGAACUUUGAAAAGAGAGUUAAACAGUACGUGAAAUUGUCAAAAGGGAAGCGUUUGACACCAGUGUUGUUUUCUCGAAAAUCAAUUAAAAAGAGUUAGAUUUUGUUGUGUAUUGACCUUAACAGCUUGCAUUUCAAUUUUCUUGCUUUUUUUAAUGCACUUUUCGUUUAACAAGUCAACAUCAGUUUCUUUUGUUGUAAAAAGGUCAUUGGAAGGUGGCUUUCUUUUCGGAGAAAGUGUUUAUAGCCUUUGACUCCUGCAAUCGGAGAGACUGAGGUCUGCAGCGUAGAUCCUUCGGGGUUAGAUACAUUUGUGCUAAGUUAUAGCUUUUUAUAGACAACUUGUUGACUAUGAUUAGUCUUGUAGCUUACUCGCUUAUGCUAUUUUACCUACGCUUAGGAUGUUGAGCGCAUGUCUCUCUCU